rnacentral:lncRNA from 1 species
AUGGCUAAGUUUACAAUCCCUUGUUUCGUCCUCAUUUUGGUGCUCUUGUCAACCACCAAUGGUUUGUUUCAAUGAUCUUCAAUCAUAUAUAUUUUAUUCUUUUUCCUGUUAGUUAGGCUUUUCAAUUAAGUAUUUACAAUCUCCUAUAUAUAUGGUCAAACAGAUGUCCAUGCAUGCAAGCUAUUAAGGUUUUUUUCCUUUUUCGUUGAUCAUAUCAAUGUAUGAGUCGAUAGAAAAUCCAAAUUGGAUCAAUUUUAAUUACUUUUAAACUAAGAAUCUAGAGUUUAUUCAAGCGCGUAAACUCAUGUCUACACUUGUUUUUCCUGUAAAUAUUUUGUAAUAUAAUUUUAUAUAUUGCAGAGUUUGUUCAAGAGGCUUUUAGUUUUUCAAUUUUUGGUUCAUUUCAUAAUAAGACUGUAAUCUUUUUGGCGAAUUAAUUAAUUGUCCUUUUUUUUUUUCUUAAUUUCAGUUUGGAAGAUUGCAACUGUUGAAGGGUCUAAGUGUUGUACUAAUCAUCCUGAACUUGGAAAUUGUGUCCCUGGUGCGGAUGACAACCCAAACGGUGGAAAAUGCUGGACAUUUUGCACUUCAGAUUGUGAGAAAGGAGGAAUCUGCAAACUAUUUGGCGACCAUCAUCAUUGCCAUUGCUUAUGUUGA